rnacentral:misc_RNA from 1 species
AACGCACAUUGCGCCCGUUAGUAUUCUGACGGGCAUGCCUGUUCGAGCGUCAUUUCAACCCUCAGGCCCUGCCUGGUGAUGGGGAUCCCGCGGCCCAGCGCCGCGGGGCCCUGAAAAGCAGCGGCGGGCUCUGCUGAAACCCGAGCGUAGUAAUCUCUCUCGCUCCGGGGACUGGCGGGCGCCCUGCCCCACACCCUUUAUGUCUUCAAUGGUUGACCUCGGAUCAGGUAGGAAUACCCGCUGAACUUAA